rnacentral:pre_miRNA from 1 species
GUCUUUGGUUAUCUAGCUGUAUGAGUGAAUAUUUGAAACGUCAUAAAGCUAGCUUACCGAAGUU